UACAGAGGUGGCAAGCGUUGUUCGGAAUUACUGGGCGUAAAGGGCGCGUAGGCGGCGACCCAAGUCAGAUGUGAAAGUCCUGGGCUUAACCUGGGGACUGCAUUUGAUACUGGGUUGCUUGAAUUCGGGAGAGGAUAGCGGAAUUCCCAGUGUAGAGGUGAAAUUCGUAGAUAUUGGGAAGAACACCGGUGGCGAAGGCGGCUAUCUGGACCGACAUUGACGCUGAGGCGCGAAAGCGUGGGGAGCGAACAGG
rnacentral:rRNA from 1 species